GAGUUUGAUCUUGGCUCAGAAUCAACGCUGGCGGCGUGCCUAACACAUGCAAGUCGAACGCGGUUAUUCAGCAAUGAAUAACUGAGUGGCGAACGGGUGAGUAACACGUGGGUGACCUACCUUCGAGUGGGGGAUAACGUCCCGAAAGGGACGCUAAUACCGCAUAACAUCCUCUUUUUGAACAGAGGGAGAUCAAAGCCGGGGAUCGCAAGACCUGGCGCUUGAUGAGGGGCUCGCGUCUGAUUAGCUAGUUGGUGGGGUAAUGGCUCACCAAGGCGACGAUCAGUAUCCGGCCUGAGAGGGCGGACGGACACACUGGGACUGAGACACGGCCCAGACUCCUACGGGAGGCAGCAGUGGGGAAUUGUUCGCAAUGGGCGCAAGCCUGACGACGCAACGCCGCGUGGAGGAUGAAGGUCUUCGGAUUGUAAACUCCUGUUGCCCGGGACGAAAAAGCUUUGACCUAACACGUCAGAGUCUGACGGUACCGGGUGAGGAAG
rnacentral:rRNA from 1 species